UGUCCAGACUCCUACGGGAGGCAGCAGUGGGGAAUAUUGCACAAUGGGGGAAACCCUGAUGCAGCGACGCCGCGUGAGUGAAGAAGUAUCUCGGUAUGUAAAGCUCUAUCAGCAGGGAAGAAAAUGACGGUACCUGACUAAGAAGCCCCGGCUAACUACGUGCCAGCAGCCGCGGUAAUACGUAGGGGGCAAGCGUUAUCCGGAUUUACUGGGUGUAAAGGGAGCGUAGACGGCCAUGCAAGCCAGGGGUGAAAGCCCGGGGCCCAACCCCGGGACUGCCCUUGGAACUGCAUGGCUGGAGUGCGGGAGGGGCAGGCGGAAUUCCUGGUGUAGCGGUGAAAUGCGUAGAUAUCAGGAGGAACACCGGCGGCGAAGGCGGCCUGCUGGACCGCGACUGACGUUGAGGCUCGAAAGCGUGGGGAGCGAACAGGAUUAGAUACCCUGGUAGU
rnacentral:rRNA from 1 species